CCAUUUAAGAAUGACAGAGGCCACUGUGUUCUUGGGGACCUUCAAUGCUGCAGAAAUAUGUUGGUACUCUUCUCCAGAUCUGUGCCUUGACAAAAUCCUGUCUUUAAGCUCUGCGGACAAUUCCUUCGACCUCAUGGCUUGGUCUGACAUGCACUGUCAACUGUGGGACCUCAUAUAGACAGGUGUGUGCAUUUCCAAAUUAUGUCCAAUCAAUUGAAUUUACCACAGGUGGACUCCAAUCAAGUUGUAGAUAUAUCUCAAGGAUGAUCAAUGGAAACAGGAUGAACCUGAGCUCAAUUUCAAGUUUCAUAGUAAAGGGUACUUAUGAAUACUUAUGUAAAUAACAUUUUUCUGUUUUUUAUUUACAUUUGCAAAAAUGUCUAAAAUCCUGUUUUCACUUUGUCAUUAUGGGGUAUUGUGUGUAUAUUGAUGAGGGGAAAAAUAUUAAAUCCAUUUGAGAAUAAGGCUGUAACGUAACAAAAUGUGGAAAAAGUCAAGGGGUCUGAAUACUUUCUGAAUGCACUGUAAGUAAUAUAGUGUUUGUCACAGUAGCUGUGGACUAUUGAAAGCAAAAUAAGAUAUAAUGUGCUUUUACUUUCAUCAAGAGCUAAUUCCUUUUCCACAAUGUAUUUCAUGAUCUCUGAAACUGUUUUGACAAAGUGGCUCAAUUUCAAACUGCCAUCUGAAGCAUUUCACAACCAUGGCAUGUUGUCACUGUUGUUCCAGAUAUUUCCUGCUAACUAGCCUUGCAGUUGUCUUCCUCAUUUUAGCUUCCUCUUUGUGAUGUUAAGGCUUAUUAAUGAUCAGGCGUGUUGUCAGAUGCACAGUAUCAUCAGCGUCCCUGUCGCUGUUUGGUUAAAGGAGAGAACUCAACUAAGGAAUCAUUGGGGCACCAACUAAACAUCCACCAUUUCAACUAGAGGUCAAAUCAUUCAGGUAGCCUAGUGGUUAGAGCAUUGGACUAGUAACUGAAAGGUUGCCGGAUCAAAUCCCUGAGCUGACAAGGUAAAAAAUCUCUCAUUCUGCCCCUGAACAAGGCAGUUAACCCACUGUUCCUAGGCUGUCAUUGACAAUAAGAAUUUGUUCUUAACUGACUUGCUUUGUUAAAUAAAUAAUAAUUGUAGUUUCAUGAAGAUAUGAAUGGAAGUCUUAUCUACCCUAAACAAACAGUUGAAAUGUGUUGGUCCACUGGUGUCACUGAAGUACAGUUAAGUACACCAAAACAAAAAACUACAUCAAAAAUAACCUGGAGUUAAUUGUUUGGAUAUGGAAUACAUUCAUGUUUAAACAUUACCCAAAUGUCUCUUCUGUUCAUACUACAGGUUCAUAGUCUGCAACUGUGAGAGCAGGCCCCCCACUUAGUGUAUUUGUCAAGCUGAGUUGGACACUCAGUAUUACAGGGUGUCAGUUUGUCAAAUACCCCAAGUGAGGGGUCACUUGUCUGCUGAGCAUCUCCCAUCAGACUAACUUCAAAGAAGAACACUUCAUUAACCUCCAAGUGACUUUCACUGUUAAGACUUUCUCAGAGACAAGACAUUUUGAUUAUGUGAAAAUGAUUAUCUUUAUCUACUAUGUGUGAUUAUGUGCAAUUGAUCACGCACUGUCACAAAUGUCUCAUGUAUUUUGUGUAAGUUUGUAUGAUGGAACUUAGUACACUGUGUAACAAAUGUGUGUCUCUGUAUUAAAUACUGCAUUAAAUAAGUACUGGGUUAUAAAA